ensembl:snoRNA SNORD59A small nucleolar RNA, C/D box 59A
CCUUCCAGGAUGAUGGAUCAUUGUGACUUUCGUUCUUCUGAGCUCGCUGAAGCCACCUCAAUGAUCUGAGAAGG